rnacentral:rRNA from 1 species
GCACAGGUGCUGCAUGGCUGUCGUCAGCUCGUGUCGUGAGAUGUUCGGUUAAGUCCGCUAACGAGCGCAACCCUCACUGUGUGUUAUAUGUGUCACGACGGGACUGGCCGGUUUUAAAGCCGGAGGAAGGUGGGAUGACGUCAAGUCAGCAUGGCCUUUAUAUCCUGGGCUACACACACGCUACAAUGGUCGGUACAAUAGGUUGCCAAGCCGCGAGGCGGAGCCAAUCCAAAAAAGCCGGCCUCAGUUCAGAUUGUAGGCUGCAACUCGCCUGCAUGAAGAUGGAGUUGCUAGUAACCGCAGGUCAGCAAUACUGCGGUGAAUACGUUCCCGGGUCUU